UACGGAGGAGGCAAGCGUUAUCCGGAAUUAUUGGGCGUAAAGCGUCCGCAGGUGGCACUUCAAGUCUGUCGUCAAAGACUGGGGCUUAACCCUGGAAAGGCGGUGGAAACUGAAGCGCUAGAGUGCGGUAGGGGUAGAGGGAAUUCCCGGUGUAGCGGUGAAAUGCGUAGAGAUCGGGAAGAACAUCGGUGGCGAAGGCAGCUCUCUGGGACGGUACUGACGCUGAGACGCGAAAGCGUGGGGAGCGAACAGG
rnacentral:rRNA from 1 species